GACAGAGGGUGCAAGCGUUGUUCGGAAUCAUUGGGCGUAAAGGGCGCGUAGGCGGUCAGGUAAGUCAACUGUGAAAGCCCAGGGCUUAACCUUGGAAGUGCAGCUGAAACUACCUGACUAGAGUCUCGGAGAGGGUGGUGGAAUUCCCAGUGUAGAGGUGAAAUUCGUAGAUAUUGGGAGGAACACCGGUGGCGAAGGCGACCGCCUGGACGAUGACUGACGCUGAGGCGCGAGAGCGUGGGGAGCAAACAGG
rnacentral:rRNA from 1 species